rnacentral:rRNA from 1 species
AGUGAACGCUGGCGGUAGGCCUAACACAUGCAGGUCGAACGGCAGCACAGUAAGAGCUUGCUCUUACGGGUGGCGAGUGGCGGACGGGUGAGGAAUACAUCGGAAUCUACUUUUUCGUGGGGGAUAACGUAGGGAAACUUACGCUAAUACCGCAUACGACCUACGGGUGAAAGCAGGGGAUCUUCGGACCUUGCGCGAUUGAAUGAGCCGAUGUCGGAUUAGCUAGUUGGCGGGGUAAAGGCCCACCAAGGCGACGAUCCGUAGCUGGUCUGAGAGGAUGAUCAGCCACACUGGAACUGAGACACGGUCCAGACUCCUACGGGAGGCAGCAGUGGGGAAUAUUGGACAAAGGGCGCAAGCCUGAUCCGGCCAUACCGCGUGGGUGAAGAAGGCCUUCGGGUUGUAAAGCCCUUUUGUUGGGAAAGAAAAGCAGCAGGUUAAUACCCCGCUGUUCUGACGGUACCCAAAGAAUAAGCACCGGCUAACUUCGUG